rnacentral:rRNA from 1 species
CGACGUGGAUAACCUGCCUCACACAGGGGGAUAACAGUUAGAAAUGACUGCUAAUACCGCAUAAGCGCACGGCAUCGCAUGAUGCAGUGUGAAAAACUCCGGUGGUGUGAGAUGGAUCCGCGUCUGAUUAGCCAGUUGGCGGGGUAACGGCCCACCAAAGCGACGAUCAGUAGCCGACCUGAGAGGGUGACCGGCCACAUUGGGACUGAGACACGGCCCAA